GACUAGCUCAGUUGGUAGAGCAAAGAGACUCUUGAUCUCAGGGUUGUGGGUUUGAGCCCCAUGUUGGACA